GCGCAGCGGCGGCGGCGAGCAGCGGCCGGCCGCGCAUGGCGCGACGCGGAGCUGCAGCGAGGAGCGGCGCGCCGUCCCAUUCAGAGGCACGCCCCCUGCCCUGAUCCCCCGAGGAGCUGUCGCGCCGAGCCCAGGUGAGGCUGACCCAGAGAUCAAGAUCACCUGCCGUCAGAUAUCACCCUUCAUCCCUCACAACUGCAAAGAGACUUGCUUCCCGGCCGCAGUUUUCAGGUUUACGGUACACAACUCUGGGAGCACACCUGCACAUGUGACGCUGGUGUUGACACUAAUUUGUGUCAACACACUCGAACGCGCUGGAACGCGCAGCAAGAUCGUCAAAACGAUCAAUACCAGCAGCCUCCCCGCGCCGACCGGUUAGACCGGUAUAGCGGACCGGUCAGACCGGUACUCCAGGAAGACGGCGAAGACCUAGAACCAAGAGCUCGGGAGGGACCCCGUCGGAGCUAAUGGAGCUAGGGUUGCUCUGAGAUCAGUAGGCUACUCAGAACAUCCUCGAACGCCGUAGAGACGAGCGAAGAACAGCAGAUGAGAUUGGAAAAGUUAGGGUUUGGAGGUAAAAAGUAAAGGAUAAAUGUGUGAAUCGAUUGGGAUUAUCCUCAAUCGGCCGUGGCCCUUCAUAUAUAUAGGGUGGGGAGGUCUGUACCCGUUAGGAGUCGGAACACUAUCAAAUCCCGUGUCAAAAUACAACUUCUAACUCGGACUGGGCGUUUCGGACCGGUCUGACCGGUCUCUGGACCGG